GCCGCCGUAGCUCAGCCCGGGAGAGCACCCGGCUGAAGUACCUCACGCGGAUACCGGGUUGUCCGGGGUUCAAAUCCCCGCGGCGGCA
rnacentral:tRNA from 1 species